rnacentral:rRNA from 1 species
GAUGAACGCUGGCGGCGUGCCUAAUACAUGCAAGUCGAGCGAACAGAUAAGGCGUUUGCUCCUUUGACGUUAGCGGCGGACGGGUGAGUUACACGUGGAUAACCUACCUCUAAGAAUGGGAUAACUUUGGGAAACCGGAGCUAAUGCCGGAUAAAAUAUUGAACCGCAUGGUUCAAUAGUGAAAGGCGGCUUUGCUUGCACUUAUAGAUUGAUCCGCCGCGUAUUAGCUAGUUGGUAAGGUAACGGCUUAGCAAGGCAACGAUACGUAGCCGACCUGAGAGGGUGAUCGGACACACUGGAACUGAGACACGGUCCAGACUCCUACGGGGGGAAGCAGUAGGGAAUCUUCCGCGAUGGACGAAAGCCUGACGGAGCAACGCCGCGUGAGUGAUGAAGGACUUCGGAUCGGAGAACUCUGUUAUCAGGAAAGAACAAAUGUGUAAGUAACUGUGAACAUCUUGACGGUACCUGAUCAGAAAGCCACGGCUAACUACGUG